rnacentral:lncRNA from 1 species
AUAACAUCUCCCGAACUAUUGUGCUACACAUCCCUGCUACAUGAACCACACCUCUCGUGUUCUGCACAUCUCCAACCACAGCUGCGUUCAGAUGUUGUGGACAGAAUUGUUUUCAUGCCCCUCCCUGCACGCAGCCCCUAGGAAAUGCUGAUUUCAGAUAACUCUUCCAUGUUUUAUGUUCAAAACAGGAAAGGGUGAUUGAUUGGUUGUUCUUCACCAAUGCCAUGAGCUGUAGUGUGACUUGAAUUUCUAGAAAGUGUAUUGCUGAGUAUUCUUAACAUCCUUGCUUCCGUGGUUGCAUUCUAUGGAUAUCCAUGGUUCAGAUCAUCAAUAGUUACGCAGCUGUGAAUGUUUCGUUUGAGAAACGUGAAUCACAUUACUGCAAUACAAAUGCAGGAGGUGCUCAGUGAUUUCAGUGUAGUGUUAUGAAAACAGAUUUUGAAGACACGUUUGCAAGUGCUGUGUGAGAUCAGCAGAGGUAGGAUGUAGCCAUUAUGGUAUGUAUGUGGGUUUGCAACUGCUGCUUUGCCAUUUUUUCCCUCAAGCAGACAAACUGUGGCAGAUUCUUACCUUUGUGGGUAUUUCAUUGUUUUCUGGAAUCCAAAUGUGCAAACAAAUUUUUCCAAGCAGCUUGGCCUUGUAAUAAUGGUAACUGGUGCAUAAUAAUAACUGGUUCAAGGAACGUUUGGACGUUGUGUUGAGGGACAUGGUUUACUAAGAACUAUUGGUGAUGGGUGGAUGGUUGGACUGGGUGAUCCUGUGGGUCUUUUCCAACCUUGGUGAUACUAUGAUUCUAAUUGGGAAUGGUUGAGUUUCAGUGUGCAGAGAUGAUCUGGGAAGUUUAUUACAUCAUAGCUUUUAUAGCAGAGCUAUUCUAAAGUUGUCUCCUCCCUUGGAACUCAUCUGUACCUCACAUUUUGUUAGCUUUCUAGUGUUCGGUGUUCUUGUGUACAGCAGGGUAUUAAAAUGCUCUGCUGUGCACCGUAUCUGUGAUUCAGAUGUCUUAGGAGACCUGGGGAUUUGGUCUUGGCUUUCAGAAGCGCUUCUUCCUUCCUAAGCACAUCACAACUUAAGUAUUUUUCUGCAGGACAAAAGAUUACUUGUGCAGAAAUGGUGCAGUCUUCACCCAAAUACACUGCUUCCUACAAGUUACCUCCAGUGUCACCUUUAUUCUGUCCUGCUCUUUCUCCUUAUUCCCAAUAUCUAACGGAUCUCCAUAAAGCUGACUGCUGAAAUCAUUCUCCUAUGACCUCAUAUAUCAACUUUGGGUUCACCCGUGUACCUAAGUGUAUGAUGCUUCAAGUUUCAGAUACUUAAAGCAUAGAUCUGCAGGGGCUACAGGAAAGCUUAAUUUAUUGCUUGGUUACUGUAUGGCUGCCAUCAUGGAUUUCCUUUGCUUUUAUUUGAAACAUCUGGAACUCCCUGUUGGUAAGAUGGGAGCAGUGAACUGCUUGUAAAUCAGAUAUGCCAGGAGAUGACAAAUGGAACUUGUCAUGUUUGAAUGACAGCACGUUCCUGCAGCUUCCUGGGCUUCCAACCCUUCUGAAAGUGCAAUCUAAACUCAUCCUUCCCUCAGAGGGAUUUUAGCAUCACCUACUGGCCACAGCACAUAUAACCUUAAAGUACAGGAGCAGAGUUAAGGGUAGGAUGGGAACUUUUACCAAACCACACUCUUGGAGGAGUGGAGACAUUAAAUAUAUUGACAUAUAGUUAACUAUGUAUGCUAUUUUCAAGUUCAUCAACGAUCAAGAAUAAAGAGCAGUUAACAGUAGUCAUUUAUGUAAGUUUUCUGUGAAGAUGUUAUAGGUAUCUGCCCUCAUAAGGCCCCAUCUGGAGUACUGUGUCCAGGUCUGGGGCCCCCAUUGCAAGAAAGACAGAGAGCUGUUGGAGAGGGUCCAGAGGAGGGCCACAAAGAUGAUCAGGGGGCUGGAGCACCUGCCCUAUGAAGACAGGCUAAGGGAGCUGGGCCUAUUCAGCCUGGAGAAGAGAAGGCUGUGGGGUGACCUCAUUGCAGCCUUCCAGUACCUGAAGGGAGCCUAUAAACAGGAGGGGAGUCAACUCUUUGGAAAGGUAUCUAACAGCAAGACAAGGGGAAAUGGUUUUAAGUUGAAGGAGGGCAGAUUUAAGUUGGAUGUUAGGGGGAAGUUCUUGGCUAUGAGAGUGGUGAGGUGCUGGAACGGGCUGCCCAGAGAGGUUGUGGAUGCCCCAUUCCUGGAGGUGUUCAAGGCCAGGUUGGAUGGGGCCCUGGGCAGCCUGGUCUAGUAUUAAAUGUGGAGGUUGGUGGCCCUGCCUGUGGCAGAGGGAUUGGAGCUUCAUGAUCCUUGGGGUCCCUUCUAACCCAGGCCAUUCUGUGAUUCUGUGAUACUUUGCAUUUUAUCUGUCAUAGAUCUCCAU